rnacentral:lncRNA from 1 species
UGUCUGCCCUAUUGCUCAACAAGAUAAAAUGUCUGGGCUGGUGGCUGGAGGCUGGAGGAAGAAUCUGGAGAGAGAGAGAGACUGUGGAAAAGGCAUAGAAAGACCUUUGAACUAGCAGAACAUAUCUCUUUGAGGGACUUAGGAACUUCAUUCUGCAAAUCUGUUUCCAAUGCCUGUUAAGUACAAAACACUGUGUGGACAUGUUCCUAUUCUCAAGACGUUUGCUAUACAGUAGGAAGGAGAGGAGGGCCUGCUCUCUGCCAAACACUGUCCUAGGAGUUUUGCACAAUCCAUUGAGUAUUCUCUAUAUUUUUAACAGCCCUGAGAGGUAAGCAUUAUUACACCCAUAUUACAAAUAAGAAACCUCAACACAUGGACACAGGGAGGGGAACAUCACACACCGGGGCCUGUUGGGGGGUUGGGGGCUAGGGGAGGGAUAGCAUUAGGAGAAAUACCUAAGGUAGAUGACAGGUUGAUGGGUGAAGCAAACCACCAUGACACGUGUAUAUCUAUGUAACAAACCUGCACGUUCUG